AACCUUUCACUUGUCCCCCCCCUCCCGUCACAGUGUUCUAACCUGCUUUCAUCUAUUUCUGACACUCAAAUUGAAAAAAAAGAAAAUCAAUGCACAAAUAUUGCCUGUGAAAGGUAUCAGAUGACCUUUUUAUCCCUGAGGCUUUUUUUUCCCUUUUUUUCUUUACACUAACAAUUUGAUGUCAAAGUGUUAAAUUUUUUUGUAGUCUUUCUUUCAUCUUUUUGUUUCGGAGGAAUUGCUUUCACCGACCCCUGGACGGUGUAUCUGGGAAGUGGCUGAGUGGAAUACGGGAGCAAAAGGACACAAAAGACAGGAAAGACUCCCAGGGAGGAGAGACUCCGCCUGCAGCGACCGCUUCACUCCGCAUGGGUCACCAUCCCUAUCUGGAUCACCUUUACUACGGUCUCCAUCCAGAUUAUCCUCUUCUCUUCUUCCUUCUCCUCCUCCUCUUUCUCCGCCCCUUCACCUUUCGGACCAGAUUUGCCCCUAAAAUGCUUUGCUAAAGCUGGUAAAAUGGAACCAAAUCAACUGUUCAAUGGAUUUGGUCCCCUUCAACCAGCUGUAGCUGUGCAUUGAUCACUCCGAGCAUCCAAACACACACUCGCAGAGGGGGGAAAAAAAAACAAAUGGACAGAGAAGCGGCGGAAAGACUCGAGCUAAUUCAGUGGAAAACAGCUUUAAAAGCUAAAACUGAAGCUACAUUUGCUUCUUUAUUGGACUGAGACACAGAAACUCAUCCAUGGAUAAUACACAGCAUGCUCCAGUUACUGCGUGGAUUUAUCGCUAUCGCACAGAUUACCCAAAAGACACUGAAGUCAUUUGUUUAAUCUGAAUAAAACAAGGCAGGUAAGUAAUUAUAGAUACUGUAUCUUGGUAAAUUUGUACUUUUGUUGUGCACUGCUAUAAUUGCAUUGUCCUUUGGAGACUAUUUUUUAUUAUUCUUUGCAGAUUUUUUUUAAAGUGUGUUUGUUUGCUGAACAGUGUAAAAACCGAUGCUGUGUAAGAAAAGCACUGAUGCGUAUGUGAGGGUGCAUGUAUGUAUGUACGUAUGUGUGUGUGUGUGUGUGUCACUGAUGUCUAAUGCACACAUCUGAUCAAUAAAACCUAAUGUGACGUUCAUAUAAA